GACGAACGCUGGCGGCGUGCUUAACACAUGCAAGUCGAACGGAAAGGCCCUGCUUGUGUGGGGUGCUCGAGUGGCGAACGGGGGAGUAACACGUGAGUAACCUGCCCUUGACUUUGGGAUAACUUCAGGAAACGGGGGCUAAUACCGGAUAGGAGCUCCUGCUGCAUGGAAGGGGGUGGAAAGUUUCGGCGGUUGGGGAUGGACUCGCGGCUUAUCAGCUUGUUGGUGGGGUAGUGGCUUACCAAGGCUUUGACGGGUAGCCGGCCUGAGAGGGUGACCGGCCACAUUGGGACUGAGAUACGGCCCAGACUCCUACGGGAGGCAGCAGUGGGGAAUAUUGCACAAUGGGCGGAAGCCUGAUGCAGCAACGCCGCGUGCGGGAUGACGGCCUUCGGGUUGUAAACCGCUUUCGCCUGUGACGAAGCGUGAGUGACGGUAAUGGGUAAAGAAGCACCGGCUAACUACGUG
rnacentral:rRNA from 1 species